rnacentral:rRNA from 1 species
CCUACGGGAGGCUGCAGUAAGGAAUAUUGGUCAAUGGGCGCAAGCCUGAACCAGCCAUGCCGCGUGAAGGAUGACGGCCCUAUGGGUUGUAAACUUCUUUUGUACGGGAAAAAACCACCGGUCGUGAAUCGGUGCUGAUGGUACCGUAAGAAUAAGCAUCGGCUAACUCCGUGCCAGCAGCCGCGGUAAUACGGAGGAUGCAAGCGUUAUGCGGUUACAGGGGGCGUAGAGGGUGCACAAAGUCAGUGGUGAAAGCCUACAGCUUAACUGUAGAACUGCCAUUGAUACUGUUAGUCUUGAGUGUUGUUGAGGUAGGCGGAAUGUGUCAUGUAGCGGUGAAAUGCUUAGAUAUGACACAGAACACCGAUCGCGAAGGCAGCUUACCAAGCAACAACUGACGCUCAUGCACGAAAGCGUGGGGAUCAAACAGGAUUAGAUACCCUUGUAGUC